UACGUAGGGUGCGAGCGUUGUCCGGAAUUAUUGGGCGUAAAGAGCUUGUAGGCGGUUUGUCGCGUCUGCUGUGAAAAUCCGGGGCUCAACCCCGGACUUGCAGUGGGUACGGGCAGGCUAGAGUGUGGUAGGGGAGACUGGAAUUCCUGGUGUAGCGGUGAAAUGCGCAGAUAUCAGGAGGAACACCGAUGGCGAAGGCAGGUCUCUGGGCCACUACUGACGCUGAGGAGCGAAAGCGUGGGGAGCGAACAGG
rnacentral:rRNA from 1 species